GAUGAAGACGUAGCGAAAUGCGAUAAGUAAUGUGAAUUGCAGAAUUCAGUGAAUCAUCGAAUCUUUGAACGCACAUUGCGCCCCCUGGUAUUCCGGGGGGCAUGCCUGUCCGAGCGUCAUUACAACCCUCAAGCUCAGCUUGGUGUUGGGCCCCGCCGCCCCGGCGGGCCCUAAAGUCAGUGGCGGUGCCGUCCGGCUCCGAGCGUAGUAAUUCUUCUCGCUCUGGAGGUCCGGUCGUGUGCUCGCCAGCAACCCCCAAUUUUUUCAGGUUGACCUCGGAUCAGGUAGGGAUACCCGCUGAACUUAAGCAUAUCAAUAAGCGGAGGA
rnacentral:misc_RNA from 1 species